UACUUAGAAGCUUCUACCACCUUUUUCUUCUAUCUACUACUACUACUGCAUCUCACAAUCACUCUGCUUUUACAAGCUUCCACCUUUGUCUUCUACUGCUACUACUUCUACUAAUCUAUCUAUUAUCUCAAGUAUCUUCUGAUUUUUGGUAUUUCAGUAUAUGGGUUUUCCCCUUUCUUAAUGUUUUUAUGUGAUUAUAUGUUCAAACACCUAUGAUUUUUUAAAGAUUGACACUUCAAUAGCUGAUUAAUGAAUAAUAUGACUUCACUAAUUUUUUGGGUUUACCAGGUUCUUCUUCAUAUUUUGAUCGUUUUGCUGCGUGUCUUCACUGCUCAGUUUAGGUGAUCUACACAGUUAUUAGGAGGAAAACUUGUGUCAGGCUUAGACGACUUCGUCUGCUCAAGUUGCGUCCACUUUAAUGCAUGCGUGUGAAAAGCUUGUGCUUCUACUUUGUCUUUUGCUGCUUUUUCCAGCAAGCAAUUGCAUCUUUUAACUUCCAUCACAAGAGAAAAAUAUCAGCUGUUUCAAUCUCAAAGGUCUCCAUCACAUGUGUUGGUAUUUCCGGAUAGAAGGUGUUCUUCAAGAUUCUCAUCUAUAAGGGUCUGAUUCCACGGACAAAACUUUUGCUUACUCUUGGUGGAACAUUCUUUUUGGCAUUUUGGUCUAUUCCAGCUGUCUCGGCUUGUGACCUGGCAAGCACAAGAAGAAAAUUAAGUUAAGCUGGACAACCAUUAAGGUUUUGGAUCGGUUAUGAUUUUUUCAUUAAUUGCAUACACCAGGAAAAUGCUCCUCAGCCAUCCCAUUCGACCAAUAAUUUCGUUGAUGUUUAGGGGUUUGUUAAAAGACAUGCAUAGUUCUUGACCCUUAAUAGCCAGCUUUGGCCUACCGAAUGUUGACAGCCUUGUCUCUCUUAAAAUCGGAAAAGUUCAGAGUCGCGAAGCAGGGGGGAAAGAUUAUCUACCAAAGCUCGAAGAAAGGUGAUAUCUUAUACUGGAGCUUCGAAAUUUUCCCUUCAAAUUUAGAAUUGCUGCAACACUCAUGGUAAUAGUAUGAAGUGUUAUUAUGUCCUGUACUGUACAUGUAAUUGGUUUUGACAAUACGCUUGAAAUGAGUAUACAAAUGUUUUUCCAUGUUGAAUCUUUCAAGUUAUUUUGUAGCUGGAGGUUGCAAACAAUGAAUCGAGCAUUUUCCCGUUAUUCACAUAAAAGUACAUUUAAGCCGGAAUGUUGGGUCCGCGCAUCACUAUCUAGUUUGUAUAUAUUUGAGAGAUAGAGGAAAGAAGUCAUUUAUACAUUACAUAUGCAAUGUAUCGUCAUUGUAUAAAUAUGUAUAUAAUAAUUGUAUAAUAUGUAUAUAAUCAUUGUGUAUACAUUAUA